rnacentral:rRNA from 1 species
GCAGUCGAGGGGAAACGGCAUUGAGUGCUUGCACUCUUUGGACGUCGACCGGCGCACGGGUGAGUAACGCGUAUCCAACCUUCCCAUUACUGUGGGAUAACCUGCCGAAAGGCAGACUAAUACCACAUAGUCUUCGAUGACGGCAUCAGAUUUGAAGUAAAGAUUUAUCGGUAAUGGAUGGGGAUGCGUCUGAUUAGCUUGUUGGCGGGGUAACGGCCCACCAAGGCGACGAUCAGUAGGGGUUCUGAGAGGAAGGUCCCCCACAUUGGAACUGAGACACGGUCCAAACUCCUACGGGAGGCAGCAGUGAGGAAUAUUGGUCAAUGGACGGAAGUCUGAACCAGCCAAGUAGCGUGCAGGAUGACGGCCCUAUGGGUUGUAAACUGCUUUUGUAUGGGGAUAAAGUUAGGGACGUGUCCCUAUUUGCAGGUACCAUACGAAUAAGGACCGGCUAAUUCCGUGCCAGCAGCCGCGGUAAUACGGAAGGUCCAGGCGUUAUCCGGAUUUAUUGGGUUUAAAGGGAGCGUAGGCUGGAGAUUAAGUGUGUUGUGAAAUGUAGACGCUCAACGUCUGACUUGCAGCGCAUACUGGUUUCCUUGAGUACGCACAACAUUGGCGGAAUUCGUCGUGUAGCGGUGAAAUGCUUAGAUAUGACGAAGAACUCCGAUUGCGAAGGCAGCUGACGGGAGCGCAACUGACGCUUAAGCUCGAAGGUGCGGGUAUCAAACAGGAUUAGAUACCCUGGUAGUCCGCACAGUAAACGAUGGAUGCCCGCUGUUGGUACCUGGUAUCAGCGGCUAAGCGAAAGCAUUAAGCAUCCCACCUGGGGAGUACGCCGGCAACGGUGAAACUCAAAGGAAUUGACGGGGGCCCGCACAAGCGGAGGAACAUGUGGUUUAAUUCGAUGAUACGCGAGGAACCUU